GAUGAACGCUGGCGGCGUGCUUAACACAUGCAAGUCGAACGGAAAGGCUCCUGCUUGCAGGGGUACUCGAGUGGCGAACGGGUGAGUAACACGUGGGUGAUCUGCCCUGCACUUCGGGAUAAGCCUGGGAAACUGGGUCUAAUACCGGAUAGGACGAUGGUUUGGAUGCCAUUGUGGAAAGUUUUUCGGUGUGGGAUGAGCUCGCGGCCUAUCAGCUUGUUGGUGGGGUAAUGGCCUACCAAGGCGUCGACGGGUAGCCGGCCUGAGAGGGUGUACGGCCACAUUGGGACUGAGAUACGGCCCAGAAUCCUACGGGAGGCAGCAGUGGGGAAUAUUGCAGAAUGGGCGCAAGCCUGAUGCAGCGACGCCGCGUGGGGGAUGACGGCCUUCGGGUUGUAAACUCCUUUCGCUAGGGACGAAGCGCAAGUGACGGUACCUGGAGAAGAAGCACCGGCUAACUACGUG
rnacentral:rRNA from 1 species